rnacentral:ncRNA from 2 species
UUAAUAUUGUAUGUUAAGGGUGCUUAAUUGCUUAAAUCAAGGGAAGCCGGUGUAAUUCCGGCACGGUCACGCCACUGUGAGCGCUGCAAAGCGUAAGUCAGAUCGCUGCCCUUAACGCUUCCGGCUG